CCUAAUUAGGCUGACUGGCUCCAUCUCAAUCAAGAGCCAGUGAUUGUGGAAAGUAGCCCUUUUUGGUUAUGUAUAUACCUUGUUUUUUAUAUGGGAUUCUGUAAGGGACCUUGGAGAUCAGA